rnacentral:tRNA from 1 species
GGCUUAAUAGUUUAAUUUUAAGAAUGGGAGUUUUGUAAUCUUCAGGUACUUGUGUAGGUUUGAGCCA